AAAUAAGAAGCAAUACUUGCAUUCAGUUUCGACCUGAACUUCUGAUGAGCCUUUCAUCCUUAUUUG
rnacentral:tRNA from 1 species